rnacentral:rRNA from 1 species
AGAGUUUGAUCCUGGCUCAGAACGAACGCUGGCGGCAGGCUUAACACAUGCAAGUCGAGCGAUCGCAGCAAUGCGGGAGCGGCAGACGGGUGAGUAACGCGUGGGAACAUACCCUCCGGUUCGGAAUAGCUCAGGGAAACUUGGAUUAAUACCGGAUACGGUCGAGAGGCGAAAGAUUUAUCGCCGGAGGAUUGGCCCGCGUUCGAUUAGCUAGUUGGCGGGGUAACGGCCCACCAAGGCGACGAUCGAUAGCUGGUCUGAGAGGAUGAUCAGCCACAUUGGGACUGAGACACGGCCCAAACUCCUACGGGAGGCAGCAGUGGGGAAUAUUGGACAAUGGGCGCAAGCCUGAUCCAGCCAUGCCGCGUGAGUGAUGACGGCCUUAGGGUUGUAAAGCUCUUUCGCUAGG